rnacentral:rRNA from 1 species
GCCUAAUACAUGCAAGUCGAGCGAGAAGACGUAGCAAUACGUUUGUAAAGCGGCGAACGGGUGAGGAAUACAUGGGUAACCUACCCUCGAGUGGGGAAUAACUAGCCGAAAGGUUAGCUAAUACCGCGUACGCUCCUUGGACUUCGGUUCAGGGAGGAAAGCGAUACCGUGGGUAUCGCGCUCUUGGUUGGGCUCAUGUCCUAUCAGCUUGUUGGUGAGGUAACGGCUCACCAAGGCUUCGACGGGUAGCUGGUCUGAGAGGACGAUCAGCCACACUGGCACUGCGACACGGGCCAGACUCCUACGGGAGGCAGCAGUAAGGAAUAUUGCGCAAUGGGCGAAAGCCUGACGCAGCGACGCCGCGUGGGGGAUGAAGGUCUUCGGAUUGUAAACCCCUUUCGGGAGGGAAGAUGGAACGAGCAAUCGUUCGGACGGUACCUCCAGAAGCAGCCACGGCUAACUUCGUGCCAGCAGCCGCGGUAAUACGAAGGUGGCAAGCGUUAUUCGGAUUUACUGGGCGUACAGGGAGCGUAGGCGGUUCGGUAAGCCCUCUGUGAAAUCUCCAGGCUUAACCUGGAACAGUCGGAGGGGACUGCUGGGCUA